GAUGAACGCUGACAGAAUGCUUAACACAUGCAAGUCGAUGGGGAAGUGGUGCUUGCACCAUGGCAACCAUGGCGGACGGGUGAGUAACGCGUAAGGGACUUACCUGCAGGACUGGGAUAACAGGGGGAAACUCCUGACAAGACCGGAUAAUGUCAUGGAGCUGCAUGGCUUUAUGAUGAAAGGAGACGCCUGCGGAGAGCCUUGCGUCCUAUUAGCUAGUUGGUGAGGUAAUGGCUCACCAAGGCGAAGAUAGGUAGCCGGCCUGAGAGGGUGGACGGCCCACAGGGGAAUGGGGUACCGCCCUUAACUCUAACGGGGGCAAGCGUGGGGAAUAAUGGACCAUGGGGGCAAACCUUGUUCCGCCAUUACUUGGGGAAGAAAGAGGUUUUUGGGAUGUAAAGUGCUUUCAGCAGGGAAGAAGUAAGUGACGGUACCUGCAGAAGAAGCGACGGCUAAAUACGUG
rnacentral:rRNA from 1 species